GCCAGUGUAGACAGGCAGCAAGAUUGAGCCAAUGUAGACACAACCUUGUAGUUCUGAUUAAAGGUUAUUAUUAUAGCACAUGUAUGAGAGAGAGUGUAAAUCAGGAUGACAGAUAUUAAGACCCUCAAUGGAAGUGCCAAACUAUUUUGCUGAUUUAGCCUUGAAUUAGAUGAGGUGAAAUGUUAUUAGAAUCAGCUAAGGAAGAAAAAAUAAAACUGAGUUAUUCUUUAAAAUGAUUGAGCUAAAAGGAGGACAGGAAAUCUGAGGGAAGCCCUGGAGUUAAAAACAGUGAAAAGAUGCUUGAGGGUUAUUGGAAAACUGGUAAAUAGAAGUCCUGCCUUGAGAUUCUUACAUGUUUCUAAACCUGCGGAAUAAAUGCACACUCCAGGAAGAAAGAUAAAUCCUGAACAAGCCCCUACUAUGCAUGUGUACCGUGUUCUGUGUGUGUGGGGGGAGGGGAGGGGGGGAAAUGGUGUAGGAAUGUCACCCAUUCACUGUGAGUAUAUCACCCAAGAAUGCCUAGCUGCAUUGUGUUUUAAGAAUCCUCUCCGUAGUUGCCAAGCAUUGGAGAGAUUUUUCUGUCUUAAGAUAAAGACCUAUGUUUUUUGGACCUGUAGACUUGGUUUUAGUUGAUGCAGGUGGUAUUUCUUUAGUAAUUUAUAGCUGUGAAAAUCAAUGAAGUAGAGCUUGUCAGGCUUUUGGGUUGAUUGAUGGGUAUCCAGCCAUGUCCCCAAAAGGUUCUGGACUCAUAUUGCUCAUUGAGAGAAAUAUGACUCCAUAUCAGUUUUAUAAAUUUUGCUAAAACAAAAAUAAAGUCAUAGGAACAUGUAAGUAAACUACGCUAUACUGUAUUCAUAAUAUUAAAUUACCCAAGAUAUAUGUUUGUACAGUGUCUAGCAGAAUGGACUCCUGGUCCAUGACUAGGUUUCUUGGGCGCUACGGUACCACUUAAAUAAAGCAAUACAACUAUCAAACUAACAAAUUGGCCUCUGUAUUGGACUGUAGUUAAACCAUUAAUCCUUACAAUUUCUAAGACUGUAUGAGAAGGUGAUUGUUUGGUUAUAAAUCCCAACUAAAAAAAAUUUAACCAAUGUCUAUCAGGUUUAUAAUUUCAAUGGCUAAGUAGUUUAAUGAAAACAAAUUAUUCUCUAAUGUCUGUAACACAAUCUGAGAAUUAUAAUACUCUGCCUUAGGACUUGACAUUUCUGUGAGCUGUCUAACUCUUUCUACUCUUCUCCCCUCACUCCUGCCUGGAGAUUACAUAAUACAGACAUUAACUGCACACUUUUGAUAAGCAGAAAUUUGAAACUAUCAGAAUCUCAAGUGUGACAAUCUCAAGUCUCAGAUUUUUAAACACUGUCGAUCAACUAGAAUGGGUAAUUUGAUAAGGUAACAGUUAGGGCUGUUUCCAGAUACCUUCCCAUGCGAACAAAAACACCAAGAAGGAGCUAGAUCUGCAGUUAAGGAGCCAGGCAGUGAAGUUCUGCAAGCAGAGCACUAGCAGAUCUUCUUUGGGUGCAGGGAGACUGAUCAAGGGCUGACAUGGCCUCUUCAUUGGUAUUGUGACUUCUUCUCAAAGUUGCUGGCCUUAUAGGAUCUGGAACAUCACUCUUCCCUCUCACCUGGCUUGUUGAUCUGAAAGACUAGGUGUUUCAACUUUACCCUUGAUUCUUAUGGUUGGUGAGCUUUGCUCACUCCAUCUUGCAACAUUUUCCUCCAAUGUCUUUGGGGAAGUCCAGUGUGAAGGCUAUUUGGAGUCAUGCAAAUUGAUGCAAUUACGUUUGAAUUAACUCACCCUUUGUGAUUAUUAAGUUCCACUUAAAUCAGCAAUUCACAACAUAUUUGAUGUUUAGAUAGCCGAGACUGACAUUGGUAACUUGCCAAACUAUAUAAAAAACCUGGAUACAAGGGACCAUUUUGGAGAAACUGGUAUAGGAGCUUGGUGAAAAGAUCUUGAGAUGAUACUGUGUCACCAGUUUAUGGAAAGUUAGACAUUACAAUUCUGAUCACUUGGACACCUUUUCAAUAGUCACUCAAUAUUCACUCAUCAGUAAAAUUGAAAAUUAUCUGUUUCAUCAUCACCACUUCUUAGUCUUCUUGAAACAAAGCAAUUACAGCACUUGAACAAUUAUUAUACCAGACAAACAAUUUGUUGUCUGGAAUCUACAUCUUAACAGAGAAAAGUUACUUAAAAACCUUUGAAGACACCUAUUCAAGCAAUAAAAAUUGUGAAUUUCUAUAAAGGUCUGUAUAGCCAUAAAAAAUUAUUGUUCUCAUAUGGCAAUCAGGUAAUUUCAGAAUAGUACCAGAUAUUUUUUUCCUCUUCAUGACAACAAUUGGCUAAAUUGUUUAGCUUUAUGCAUAAUUAAAACAACAUGAUGGAGUCACACAGAAGAGGCUCCAUAUUAAGAAUGUAUCUAAAGAUCCAACCUAAGACCCUUCUUUUCACAGUCCGAAAAACUAUUUCCAGCUACGUCUCCAGUGAUGUAUCACUCCCAUGGACUAUUACCUAACAAUUACUCAACACAAGUCAAACUGAUCCCUCAUAAAACUAUGUUCUCUGUUGCCCCUCCCCCACCCCAAUAUUAUCUUUCCAUUGACUGUCACUGUUCACUUCUGGACUCCCAACAAUGCUAUUGUAUAAGCAAAGGAAGACCUGGAAAAGUAAAAGGGGAAGUAAAGAAUUAUUGAGCUGGCCAGGUUGCAAGCAUGUCCUUGGAUGGACUCCACAGCUACAGUGACCCAGACAGCUCUGCUUCCUUCCAGCCUACCUUAGCAUACUUCCUUAGUUGCUUAGCCUACCUAUCUAUCUGGUCAGUCAUGGAGGCAGGGUAGCAGCAGCAAAGAAUGGAAAUAGCCAGGGUUCCCAAUUUAAUUCUCAC